UACGUAGGUGGCAAGCGUUAUCCGGAAUUAUUGGGCGUGAAGCGCGCGCAGGUGGUUCUUUAAGUCUGAUGUGAAAGCCCCCGGCUCAACCGGGGAGGGUCAUUGGAAACUGGGGAACUUGAGUAUAGAAGAGGAAAGUGGAAUUCCACGUGUAGCGGUGAAAUGCGUAGAGAUGUGGAGGAACACCAGUGGCGAAGGCGACUUUCUGGUCUAUAACUGACACUGAGGCGCGAAAGCGUGGGGAGCAAACAGG
rnacentral:rRNA from 1 species